GUCCGACUCUGUGCGACCCCAUAGACAGCAGCCCACCAGGCUCCCCCAUCCCUGGGAUUCUCCAGGCAAGAACACUGGAGUGGGUUGCCAUUUCCUUCACAAUGCAUGAAAGUGAAAAGUGAAAGUGAAGUCGCUCAGUCAUGUCUGACUCUUCAGGACCCCAUGGACUGCAGCCUACCAGGCUCCUCCGUCCAUGGGAUUUUCCAGGCAAGAGUACUGGAGUGGGGUGCCAUCGCCUUCUCUGGAUCUGCCUGCCUAGCCUUCUGAAUUCUUAUCUGUACUGCACAAAAAGGGAGGGCUACAGGCAGAAGCUGAAGGAUACAUUCUCAUAAGGUGAUGCGUGACCUGGCAGCUUGAUCAUCACUACCUAGGAGGCAAAAGUGACAGAACUGGGGGGAGGUGGCAUCACCCAGUGAGAACUUCGGGGAGUGCAGCAGCUCCUCAGCCUCCUGCUGAUUUGGGCCAUGAGGUACUGGAGACUCUUGGAGGAAUCUGGACUGUCGAGAACACCGGAGCCAUGAGGAGGCAAUGAAGUCCAAGUCACGGAAAUUGUUAAUCGCACCCUUCAGUUUGGUUGAACAGAAGAACUGGUGUGGACUUCGGCUGGGGCUGCCAGGAAAUUCAGGGCCUGUUUAUUUGGCCUGGGGUGCCUGGAACCCAUGCUAAACAUCUUCUCAAGUUAUGGAGCUGCCUCCUUCCCGAGAUGUCAGCUUAACACUCAUAUUGCUACUUUUUAAGCUACUGGGUAUCUGGGGGCACUCUCUCUCCAGAAGUCUUCUGCUUCUGGACAAAACGGAAAAACAGGGGCCAUGAAAUUAAAAGACGCUUACUCCUCAGAAGGAAAGUUAUGUCCAACCUAGAUAGCAUAUUGAAAAGCAGAGACAUUACUUUGCCAACAAAGGUCCGUCUAGUCAAGGCUAUGGUUUUUCCUGUGGUCAUGUAUGGAUGUGAGAGUUGGACUGUGAAGAAGGCUGAGUGCUGAAGAAUUGAUGCUUUUGAACUGUGGUGUUGGAGAAGACUCUUGAGAGUCCCUUGGACUGCAAGGAGAUCCAACCAGUCCAUUCUGAAGGAGAUCAGCCCUGGGAUUUCUUUGGAAGGAAUGAUGCUAAAGCUGAAACUCCAGUACUUUGGCCACCUCAUGUGAAGAGUUGACUCAUUGGGAAAGACUCUGAUGCUGGGAGGGAUUGGGGGAAGGAGGAGAAGGGGACGACAGAGGAUGAGAUGGCUGGAUGGCAUCACUGACUCGAUGGACAUGCGUCUGAGUGAACUCUGGGACUUGAUGAUGGACAGGGAGGUCUGGCGUGCUGCGAUUCAUGGGAUUGCAAAGAGUCAGACACGACUGAGCGACUGAACUGAACUGAGUCUACUCUUACAUCUUGUAAUAGGAUGAA
ensembl:lncRNA